UGGCGAUAUUAUUUUUGUUUUAGAGGAAUAAUGUCAAUUUCCUUGUCAACGUGCUCGUUUAAAAAUAUUAUUUUUGAGCAUUUUCGUGGAAUAUUAUGUUAAUUUUUAUACUGUUAUGGUGAGAUUUAAGAAAAUUUGAAUUUUACCCUGAAAUGCCUGAAGAAAUGGAUGCUUUACUUAAUGCAGUUCUAAAUGAAGAUGUAAAAGAAGUUAGAAGAUUAUUAGAUGAUGGCUGUUCAAUUAAUUACAUGAACCAGGCAAGGAAUUGUAAAUUAAUAAUAUUUUAUUAAACUAAAUAACUUAUUUAUAA